GUGGGGAAUAUUGGACAAUGGGGGGAACCCUGAUCCAGCCAUGCCGCGUGUGUGAAGAAGGCCUUUUGGUUGUAAAGCACUUUAAGCGAGGAGGAGGCUACCGAGAUUAAUACUCUUGGAUAGUGGACGUUACUCGCAGAAUAAGCACCGGCUAACUCUGUGCCAGCAGCCGCGGUAAUACAGAGGGUGCAAGCGUUAAUCGGAUUUACUGGGCGUAAAGCGCGCGUAGGUGGCCAAUUAAGUCAAAUGUGAAAUCCCCGAGCUUAACUUGGGAAGUGCAUUCGAUACUGGUUGGCUAGAGUAUGGGAGAGGAUGGUAGAAUUCCAGGUGUAGCGGUGAAAUGCGUAGAGAUCUGGAGGAAUACCGAUGGCGAAGGCAGCCAUCUGGCCUAAUACUGACACUGAGGCACGAAAGCGUGGGGAGCAAACAGGAUUAGAAACCCUGGUAGUCC
rnacentral:rRNA from 1 species